GGUUCCACCAAGUUUGAGUUCCACAAAGAGCAUUUCUAAAUUCUAAAGAGAAAAUUGGGUUGCGUAUAUAACUUUAGUUUACGACCCCCUUCCCUCAAUUCUUAACAACUCCACCUGCACAAUAAGAAUUUCUGAAGUUGUACAGCCUUGGGUUGAGAAAGGUCAAAAAGGGAAGCAACAGAUCGAUACAGACAUACAUAAAUAUCCAU
rnacentral:misc_RNA from 1 species